GUGGUAUUUAUGGUUCUUUCUUGUGGCAUUUAUACCUCCUAUAGCAAAAGAUAUAUAUGAUGUAGCUUAUAGGAGUGCUAACAAAGAUAAGCAUACUUGCAAUGAAUGUAUUGUAAAGUCAACUAAUGGAUCCAGAGAGAAUCAAGGCAUACAAUCAAACCAAGGUGUGCAUGUGUAUGGAAUAUGAUGGACAGGUGUAUUUGUGGUUUUUGUGCCUAAUUUAUAUUUCUUUGGGAAUAACUCUCUAUGGAAACCUUUCAGGAAAGACAUGGGCUAUCUUUAUUCUCUUUUUUUCUUUUUUUAAUAGGGAGGCGGGCAUCUAGUACCCAUUGUUUUAAUUAUUGGGACACUUGUCCAUCUUUUACUCCCUUUUAUACUUUUGCAUAGCCACAUGUAUCCUUUGAAUACAAUAAAUGAUGAGAGAAAUAAAAACAAGAACUUGAACAAGGGUUAUCCUAUAGUUUGAUUAUUGGUGUUUACUCCUAUUGUAGGAAUAAUACACAUAUGAACUAGAGUGUGUAC
rnacentral:lncRNA from 1 species